rnacentral:rRNA from 1 species
UACGAAGGGGGCGAGCGUUGUUCGGAUUUACUGGGCGUAAAGGGCGCGCAGGCGGCUUUGUUUGUCAGGCGUGAAAGCCCCGGGCUUAACCUGGGAACUGCGUUUGAUACGGCAGGGCUAGAGUUCGGGAGAGGAGAGUGGAAUUCCCAGUGUAGAGGUGAAAUUCGUAGAUAUUGGGAAGAACACCGGUGGCGAAGGCGGCUCUCUGGACCGAUACUGACGCUGAGGCGCGACAGCGUGGGGAGCAAACAGG